UACCACUUUUUUGGUUCUUGGACUACCUAUUUAGCUAUAUAAGCCCCGUUUACACUACGCUCAAUUUUUGGUACCGUACCUAAAUAGGUAGUCCAAGAACCAAAAAAGUGGUAC